rnacentral:lncRNA from 1 species
CGUGGCUUCACAUGCUGUGGAGAGAGAGACAGCAAGCUCACUGGUAUCUCUUCUAAUGAGGGCACUAAUCCCAUCAUGAAGCCCCCACCAUCGUGACUUCACCUAAACUUAAUUAUCUCUCAAAAGCUCCAUUUCCACAUACCAUUACACUGGGGGUUGGGGUUUCCGCAUACAAAUUUAUUGGCGAAGGAGUCUAUAGUGUACCCACAGAAUGUAUUUCUGGCUCAAAUCUUCAGACCUAUACUGGGUUUGGGAGGCUAGGGGCAAAGAAUCUCCUACUUCUACAGAAAGCACUCAGAGAAACUCUUUGCCUAUAAUCAAGUCUUAAUGGGGAAAUGUGAGGAUCAACUCUUUCUGUGGGCAACACAAGAGCUGGGUGUUUUUUUUUACCCCCUUCUAGGUCAAAGGGUGUCAGGUUGAGACUUCACGUCACUCUUCAGUGUCAUGACUGGGGUCAAGAGGCAAAGUUCUAUCCUUCAGAAAGUCAGAGCCUUACCUGCCGUUGAGUCCACAGUCAGAUGCAUGACAACCUGAGGUUAGUUUGAUCAUCUUUAUUAUAACCAUUGAGGUCCUGGUGCACCUGCUUUAAAAGGAGCAAGAUGAUGAAUUUUUUCUGAUAUUCCAAGUUAUAAAAAUAAAGCUCAGAAAGUCAAGAUGGCUCUGAUGUAUUAAAAAAUAGGGGCACCUGCGUGGCUCAGUCGGUAAAGCAUUUGGACUCUCAAUUUCAGCUCAGGUCAUGAUCUCACCAAUGUGAGAUCGAGACCUGACUCAGGCUCUGAGCUGGGCUUGGUACAGCCAGCUUACGAUUCUCUCUCAAUCUGGGGCGCCCGGUGGCUCCAUCAGUUAAGCGUCUGACCUCGACUCAGGUCAUGAUUUCAUGGCUCAUGAGUUCAAGCCCCACGUCAGGCUCUGUGCUGACAGCUUAGAGCCUGGAGCCUGCUUCAGAGUCUGUCUCCCUCUCUCUCUCUGCCCCUCCCCACUCAUGCUCUAUCUAUCUCUCUCUCUCUGUCCUUCAAAAUAUGUAAACAUUAAAAAAAAUAUUUUCUCUCAAUCUCCCUCUGCCCCUCGCCAACUUCCACCUGCUUAAGAUUCUCUCUCCCUCUCUUUCUGCCCCUUCCCCACUUGCACGCGAGUGUGAGCUCUCUCUAAAAAAAAAAAAAAAAAAGAAUAAAGCCUCUAUAGUUGGUACUUUACAUGUAGUUGGCCUUCCCAGGAAAAUGUGAAAAGUUGUCCCUGUUACCAUGAACUGCUUUGGGAUCCUCAAACAAAAUUAGCAAUUUAUUCAAUAGAAAAAAUAUCCAGUGAAUAGACAAAAUUCUAACUGAACCCUCAAACUGAGCCACUUUAUCUCUACCAAAUAAUUAUUAAUAAUAAUGAUCAUAAUAAUGAUGAUUAUUAUUAAACAGGAAAUCUGUAGCUUUGAAAAGAAAACCUAAGAAUUUCUCUCAAAUCUUCUAAUGUGAUGGGAUCCAAACAUAAAGAAUAAUUUGAAUGAAAAAGUUUGCCCCCAAAAAUGCAUGAGAUCCUUUCAUUGUGAUUGUUUCCAUGUGCCUUUCUGAGAGCUUCACAGGUCAAAUCCAAGAAUGAGAGAAAACAGUCUUUUUUUUUUUUUUAAUGGCAUGUUUGCAUUAGAUAGUCCUCCAUUAGUUUUAUAUCUGAUCUGGCUUGAUUCUGGGUGUUAUAACUGGGGAGUGCAGACUGACGUGGCCCCCCCGAGAGGGAGCUGCCGCCAGUCAGGGGGAAGAGAAGCAGAACAUUCUCUAACUUACCAGAUGCUUAGGCUAGGCAGUGAAACCUCCAAAUGAAAGGGCAGCAAAAUUUUCUUAUCUCCACCCCAUAAUGAAGUCAUAAAAGUCUUGACUUUCCCUGAUGUGUGGCCAUGUGGUUUUAAACAGUGCAUGAGUUUGGGUUUUCCUACAAGCAGACCUUGAGACAAAAACCUGGGGAUGGAGAGUUGGCUUUGGAGAUAAUCCCAAGGAGCAGAAGUGGGGAAGUGGGGAAUCUGAGCCUGGGAAGUGAGAAAAAAAAAAAACAAUAAGGAAGGAAACACCGCCCUCAUGUGGGGUUUGUUUCCUUUCAAAGUACUUUGAAAUGAUUAGUUAAAGGCUAAAUAUGAACUCGAAGACACUCCAUGAUUUAUAAUUUUUGUCUAUCUUUCCUCCUAAAAAUAUUUCCAUGCUGGACCUGUUGUUCCUAUAUCCAUUAAGCAUAUCCAUUGGACUGGUCUCCCACCCCAGCCUUUCCUGGAGUGUUUUAUCUGGCUUGAAAGCUUAUGACUGAGAUGUAAGUCCGCGUGGUAAAUACCAACCCAGAGGAGCCGUUUUAAAGUCCAUCUGCACUAUGCUGGAGGAGGAAAGGAGAGUCGGCCGGGCUCCCUGAAGGCCCGGAGGCACGCUGAGGUGACACAGGCAUACUCAUCGAUGCCUUUGGCAAAUAUUUCUUGGAUUCUUCCCGCGUUUCUGCUUAGGAUCAGCCCCCGCCAGGAGAAGCAGAUGUAAACAGCACAAUGACAACACAGGGUGGUAUGUGCUGUGUCAUCAAGACGCACAGAGAGUGUGCUGGGAUCACUGACAAGGGAGCAGUCGACUUUGUCCCGGGCAGCGCAGAAGUCCCCAUAGUCCAGGAGAUACAGAAAGAAGGGCAUUUCCCAGACAGAGAGGGUAGACACCCCUUCCAGACAAAGAGCCGGCAUUUGCAAGAGCCCAGGGUCUAGAGUGAGAACCAGCGAAAGAGAAAGGGAAGAAGGAAGACCAGAGGACAAAGAGAAGGGAACUGCUAUGGAAGGAGACGAAGGAAUUAUAAAGGGAUGUGGACAUUAUCUCCUAACCUGUGAGGGGGCCUUUGAAGAGAUUUAAACAAACAGAUUUGCACUCUAUAAAGAUCUCUAAGGUAGCUGCAGGGUUGAGAGCAAGGAGGUGCGUCCGCGGUAGGGGAAGAGGGAUUGGAUGGUCAGUUUCCUUCACUGCUAUAACAAACUACCACAAAUGUAGUGGCUUAAAACACAAAUUUAUUCUGUUAGAGUCCUGGAGGUCAGAAGCCCACAGGGAAUCCUACAAGGAGCCUUCUGUGGGCUCCAGGGUAGAGUCUGUUUCCUUGUCUCCUCCACUCUCAGAGACCACCUGCUUGGCUUGGCUCCUCGUCCAACUUCCUCCACCUUCAGAGUGCUUCACUCCAACCUCCAGAUCGCAUCCGACCUCGUCCAACCUCCAGAUCGCAUCCGACCUCGUCCUCCUUUGACCUGCUGGCUGCCCUCUUAUUAGGACUCUUGCGAUUACAUAAGAUUCAGUUGGAUAAUCUAGGAAAUCUCCCCACCGCAAAAUCCUUAAUUUAGACACAUCUGCAAAGUCCCUUUGGAUAUAAGGCAAUAUUCACAGUUUCAGGCAUUGGGACAGAAUAUCCCUGGGGGACCAUUAUUCAAUCCACCACAGUGAUAGUUUCCAAAUGAGAGACAAGUCAAAUGAACCCCUAAAAUACAUGGGAAUAUCUUAAAGUAAGGGAGCUCCAGGGAGGAAGAAAUUUUUUUGACGUUUAUUUUAUUUUUGAGAGAGAAGGAAGAGAGUGCGAGUGGGGGAGGAGCAGAGAGAGGGAUACAGAGGAUCCAAAGCAGGCUGUGUCUGUGCUGACAGCAACAAGCCCAAGGCAGGGCUUGAACUCACGAACUGUGGGAUCAUGACUUGAGCAGAAGUCAAAUGCUCAACCAACUGAGCCACCCAGGAACCCCGGGAGGAAGAAUAUUAUGUUUGAUUUUUCUUUUUACCAAUGCAGAAUGAGGGACUUACUACAACCAAAAAACAAAUGUGCUCAAAUGAAAGGGAUUAGUAUCUUAGAUGUUCUAGUUUUUUUUCUCUUCUUAUCCAAUGCUUUCUUUAUGUGUGUAUGUUCAUUAUGUAAGCGCUGGGAUUCCAGGACGGCACUGCCUACAAAUCAUGUAAAAUGUAACAACGUUCUCCCCCAUGAGACUUUGUUAAUAGCAUUCAAGGUAAGUAAGGUAGGGGAAACACAGUGAUAUGUAGGUAGUCAACUAUUUCCCUUUGAGAUCCUUGAGAGCAUCAGUUGCCCUGAUUCACAUUUUUAUCUCCCACAGAGUGGAGCACAAAUUCAACACUAAACAUUUGUUCAGCAACCCAGCGUGCCUUCCUUCUUCCUUCAUUUUAACAGUGCUAGAUUUUCGCACGGAUACCCAACACACACACACACACACACACACACACACACACACACACAGGUACUCAAUCAGUUUUCUGUUCCCUGGCUCACAGUCCCUGGACCAUUGGCCUAAGCUCUUCCCAGUACAGUGAAUGCUGCAUUAGAAGAUUUGUCCUGGCGUGAAGACAUGAACCUGGAACUUGUAUGGACAUUUAACCCGCAUGAGGAGAAAUGUAAUAUCUGGACGGAGAGAAGCACAUUGC